CCCAUACCUGAAGGCCUCGAGGACGUAGGAGGUGACGGCGGCCCCGCCCUCGUGCGGGUUGGACUGCCAGUAAUCCUGUGUUGUCACGAGGGCACCCCAUUCUGUAGCAGUUAGUACCAGGACUCCUGCCGCACUGCACUGCAGCAAAGAUCCAGAGACCUCAUGAGAUCAUGCUCCGGAGUGUUGACCUUGGCGGUAUGCAAGCGGGUGAACAUCUCCAGAUGACUUCAGCUCCUCAAUGAAAUAUUGAUGGCACGCUGUCGGUGCACCGGCGGGAAAUCCUGACCGAGGGUCCUCCGAUGACUCGGCAGUGCAGGCGGGCUGUGGCGCCCAGGGACAUCGUUUGAUUGGCA